rnacentral:rRNA from 1 species
CAAUAGCGUAUAUUAAUGUUGUUGCAGUUAAAAAGCUCGUAGUUGGAUUUCUGGUGGGAGCGGCCGGUCCGCCGUAAGGUGUGUACUUGGUUGUCUCCUGUCAUCCUUGUGGGAACUGCUCUGGCAUUAAGUUGUCGGGGUUAGGGAACACAUCGUUUACUGUGAAAAAAUUAGAGUGUUUAAAGCAGGCUUAUGCCGUUGAAUACAUUAGCAUGGAAUAAUAAGAUAGGACUUUGGCGUCUAUUUUGUUGGUUUGCACACCAAGGUAAUGAUUAAUAGGGAUAGUUGGGGGUAUUCGUAUUUAAUUGUCAGAGGUGAAAUUCUUGGAUUUAUGAAAGACGGACUACUGCGAAAGCAUUUGCCAAGGAUGUUUUCAUUG